rnacentral:rRNA from 1 species
CCUGAUGACCAUAGCGACGUGGUACCACUCCUUCCCAUCUCGAACAGGACAGUGAAACGCGUCAGCGCCGAUGAUAGUGCAGGUUCCUGUGUGAAAGUAGGACAUCGUCAGGC